AUGAAGCUGGGACAAGGCCGAACCGUGUGGCAGAACUGCCUCCUUCUAGUGCGUCGCCUCCUCGUUCCAGCAUGCCGCCACCGCCGCAACCCUCCACCGUCAAGGUCGCACGUGUGUCGUCCUCAGUCCAACCCCAUGGCAUUAGGGUGGUCGAGUUCGUCACGAGUAGCAGUCCAUGGCUGCCGGGGUUCAACUUUCCUCAUCACGAGGCUUGUACUCUUCUCCUAUGAGCUCUCUCUCACUUCUGUUGUUCAUUUUUACUGCUGCUUCAAUUUCCUUGUGAUGCAAAAUGUUGCUGAUGAACAUUACUGGUUUAUAUUUUAUAUGGUCGUUUGGUGCACAGGAAACAGUGUGUACACCAAAUUUUGGGAUUUGAUUUUGGAAGGUUCACACAUCCGUAUUAGAGAGAUUCAUCGGGCACAAUUUUGUAAGGUUCUAAAAUUCCUAGAGCAUCAGUCCAACGACAUAUGGGGGUAUAUUGUGUUCCUCCUGCGAUUUUUUGUAUGCUUGUAUGUACAAAAAAAUGGUAGAGUUACUGCUUUGAUGUGUCGUGGUGCAAAUGUUGUUGAUGUUCAAAGUUUGUGCAGAGAAAGACUUCAAAAACUCGUGUCACCAAUGGAAUGA
rnacentral:rRNA from 1 species